rnacentral:rRNA from 1 species
GUGGGGAAUAUUGGACAAUGGGCGCAAGCCUGAUCCAGCCAUACCGCGUGGGUGAAGAAGGCCUUCGGGUUGUAAAGCCCUUUUGUUGGGAAAGAAAUCCUGUCGAUUAAUACUCGGUGGGGAUGACGGUACCCAAAGAAUAAGCACCGGCUAACUUCGUGCCAGCAGCCGCGGUAAUACGAAGGGUGCAAGCGUUACUCGGAAUUACUGGGCGUAAAGCGUGCGUAGGUGGUGGUUUAAGUCUGCUGUGAAAGCCCGGGGCUCAACCUGGGAAUUGCAGUGGAUACUGGAUCACUAGAGUGUGGUAGAGGGAUGCGGAAUUUCUGGUGUAGCAGUGAAAUGCGUAGAGAUCAGAAGGAACAUCCGUGGCGAAGGCGGCAUCCUGGGCCAACACUGACACUGAGGCACGAAAGCGUGGGGAGCAAACAGGAUUAGAAACCCCGGUAGUCC